UGUAAUUUUCUCAUUCUUGUAACCCAUAUAUCCUUAUCAAGGUCUGUAUCUUCCUAUAAAUUGGUUUUUUUACCUUGCUGUAGGGCACAUGUUGAAACGGACCAAUGAAUAAACAGUUAAAUGGUGGCAAAGCAGCCACAUUUUUCAAGCAGUUGUGUGCUCACCAAUCAAACCUAAGCUGUUACGUUUACUCAUUCACGACACCACAAGGCCUGCUGGUUGCCAUUGUUUAUGUCUAGUCGAGCUCUUAUGUUUACUCUCACGGAACCACGAGGCGUGCUGGCUGCAGUUGUUUUUCUCUAGUCGAG